CACGGUUUCCACAAUUCCCAGCACAGCCACAUCAUAGAGUAGUGAUUACGCUAUGAUGUGGCUGUGCUGGGAAUUAUGGGAGCCGC